rnacentral:rRNA from 1 species
GAUGAACGCUAGCGGCAGGCUUAAUACAUGCAAGUCGAGGGGUAGCAAGAUUGUAGCAAUACAAUUGUUGACGACCGGCAAACGGGUGCGGAACACGUACACAACCUUCCUACAAGUGGGGAAUAGCCCAGAGAAAUUUGGAUUAAUACCCCGUAACAUAGCGAUGUGGCAUCACAUUGCUAUUAUAGCUUCGGCGCUUGUUGACGGGUGUGCGGCUGAUUAGAUAGUUGGCGGGGUAACGGCCCACCAAGUCUACGAUCAGUAGCUGAUGUGAGAGCAUGAGAAGCAACACUGGCACUGAGACACGGGCCCGACUCCUACGGGAGGCAGCAGUAAGGAAUAUUGGACAAUGGACGCAAGUCUGAUCCAGCCAUGCCGCGUGAAGGAUUAAGGUCCUCUGGAUUGUAAACUUCUUUUAUAAGGGACGAAAAAAGGUCUUUCUAGAUCGUCUGACGGUACCUUAUGAAUAAGCACCGGCUAACUCCGUGCCAGCAGCCGCCGUAACAC